rnacentral:misc_RNA from 1 species
AAGUCGUAACAAGGUUUCCGUAGGUGAACCUGCGGAAGGAUCAUCACUGCAUCCGUCCUUAUACAACACACCUGUGGUUUAUAUUUUAGGGCUGCUCAAGGGUCCGGCCCUCCCCCUUUGGGGGGGGCGGCUGGCGCCUGGAGCGCCCCGUCUUUUUUUCAUCAUUACACGCGUCAACCCUUUUUCAAUCUUUAUUCAGAAAACCAAAACACAACUUUUAACAACGGAUCUCUUGGUUCUC